ACUAUACUGGCAGUCGAGCGGAUCUUCAUUAGCUUGCUUUUGAAGAUCAGCGGCGGACGGGUGAGUAACACGUGGGCAACCUGCCUGUAAGACUGGGAUAACUUCGGGAAACCGGAGCUAAUACCGGAUAAUCCUUUCCCUCACAUGAGGGAAAGCUGAAAGACGGUUUCGGCUGUCACUUACAGAUGGGCCCGCGGCGCAUUAGCUAGUUGGUGAGGUAACGGCUCACCAAGGCAACGAUGCGUAGCCGACCUGAGAGGGUGAUCGGCCACACUGGGACUGAGACACGGCCCAGACUCCUACGGGAGGCAGCAGUAGGGAAUCUUCCGCAAUGGACGAAAGUCUGACGGAGCAACGCCGCGUGAGCGAUGAAGGCCUUCGGGUCGUAAAGCUCUGUUGUCAGGGAAGAACAAGUAUCGGAGUAACUGCCGGUACCUUGACGGUACCUGACCAGAAAGCCACGGCUAACUACGUGCCAGCAGCCGCGGUAAUACGUAGGUGGCAAGCGUUGUCCGGAAUUAUUGGGCGUAAAGCGCGCGCAGGCGGUUCCUUAAGUCUGAUGUGAAAGCCCCCGGCUCAACCGGGGAGGGUCAUUGGAAACUGGGGAACUUGAGUGCAGAAGAGGAGAGCGGAAUUCCACGUGUAGCGGUGAAAUGCGUAGAGAUGUGGAGGAACACCAGUGGCGAAGGCGGCUCUCUGGUCUGUAACUGACGCUGAGGCGCGAAAGCGUGGGGAGCGAACAGGAUUAGAUACCCUGGUAGUCCACGCCGUAAACGAUGAGUGCUAAGUGUUAGAGGGUUUCCGCCCUUUAGUGCUGCAGCAAACGCAUUAAGCACUCCGCCUGGGGAGUACGGCCGCAAGGCUGAAACUCAAAGGAAUUGACGGGGGCCCGCACAAGCGGUGGAGCAUGUGGUUUAAUUCGAAGCAACGCGAAGAACCUUACCAGGUCUUGACAUCCUCUGACAACCCUAGAGAUAGGGCUUUCCCCUUCGGGGGACAGAUUGACAGGGGGUGCAUGGUUGGCGCAGCUCCGGGCCGGGAGAGUUGGGGUUAAGUCCCGCAAC
rnacentral:rRNA from 2 species